rnacentral:lncRNA from 1 species
AAGUAUAACUCCAACUUCCAGGCUCAGGACCCUCAUCCCUCACCUCCUCCUGCCAAGAUCACCCCAAGCAGAAACCAGUAGGCAUAAUAAUUAGGAUCAUAACAAACUCUACCUCACGGGGCUGACCCGAAGGGAUGAUGCAUAGCAGAACACAUGGCUCAGCUGGCCAGCCGGCAGGUCUUAGCAGGUCAUAGUGGCGGAAUGACCAGCCCACAAGUCUUAGCAGGUCGCAAUGGUGGAUGCAGGAUGUUUCUGCCUGACCAGCCUCCAUUCUCACUUCCGCCUUGCUGCUGGGGCUACCUUUCACCCACAUGCAGGCUUACUUGCCUGCACCCCCGGCAUGGCCCAAGAACCAGUUCUCUGAGUUCAGCCAGGACUUCCAAGAACCUAGCACAGCCAGUCCCUUCUCCCACAGAGCACUGUGAACAUCCCCAAGACAGAAACGAUGUGUUGCUCACCACAGCCUGGGCCCUACAGCUGGCCUGUCACAGGGCUGGUGACGACCGAAUGAAAGGAAAUGCCUAAUGUUUUCUGAGCACUUGCUACAUGCCGGGCACAGAGCCAGGGAUGCCCACAUGGAGAGGGCCUGCCUCACAGUGAAGACAGUAGGAAGGAAAGCAGAGGUAAGAGUUGAAAAGUCCAAAUCCAUAUAUGAACACUGCGAUUCCGCCAUUCCCGAAGCUAGUUACCCUCCAGACUUUUCAGUUCCAGGAGGCAAUGAAACCCCUUUUCUGCUUAUGCCCGUUAGGUUUGGAUUUUCUGUCACUUGCUACUAAGACAGCCCUCACUGACCAAGUGAAGCUCAGAGAUGGGACCCAACACACCCAAGGUCACAUAGCUACGAAAGCAGUGGAACAGAAACUCCCAUGAAAGUCUGGGCUUUUUUUUUUUUUUUUGAGACAGUCUUGCUCUGUGUCCAAGGCUGGAGUGCAGUGGCACGACCUAGGCUCACUGCAACCUCUGCCUCCCAGGUUCAAGCGAUUCUCCUGCCUCAGCCUCCCAAGUAGCUGGGAUUACCGGCAUGCGCCACCACGCCCGGCUAAUUUUUGUAUUUUUAGUAGAGAUGGGGUUUCACCAUAUUGGUCAGGCUGGUCUCGAUCUCCUGACCUCAAGUGAUCCGCCCGCCUUGGCCUCCCAAGGUCUGGGCUCUUAACCACAGCCUGACCACACCCCAGGCCCGGCUGAUAGCCACUUCAAUGCUCCCACACGCUGAGUACAGUCCAGAUACCCACUCUGCCGGCGGAGUCCCCUCACCUCUUUCCCAGAAGCCACUGGAGUUACACUGGUUGGGAUUUUUGGGCAUUGGUUUGCAAGUCCAUCAGAUGGGGCUAAUGAGCUCACCCUUGCAUGCAGGUCAGAGGACAGCUCACACUGGCCUAGCCCACAAGGGACUCAGGGAAUGAAGGCCACAGUGUGGACCCUCCAACCUGCCCUCAGCUGCCUGAUGGCCUACAGGUGUUUUCUAAUAGGUGACAUGUGUCCAUUAAAAUAAAAUACAACCAACCGCUUACCCCUCCUUGCGCCCAUCUCCUUCCUCUGCCCUACUCUCCUUCACAGAACAUGUCAUCCCCAUGACCUAUCAUGCAUGCAUUGCGUUAGUCAUAUAUUGCUUGACUCCCCAACACCAAGAAGGGAAGGGAUGGUUUAUCUGAUUUAUCACCUUUGUACUCUCAGAGACAAGACAGUACUUGGCACACAGUAGGUGCCCAAUAAAUGUUUGUUGAAUGACUGAAUUAACAAAUGAAUGAUGUGCAUGAAACUCUGCACAGAGUCAUGGAGUGCUUAAAGGCUCCUGGUUACACCUGGCCAUUUCACAGGUGAGGACAUGAGGCCUCAGGAUGGGCUCCCCUGAAGUCCCCAGGCAGGCAGCAGGGGCUCUGAUCUGCUCUGUGCCUCUGCUGGGCUGGACCGAAAUGGGCCUUGAACACAGGUGUGGGCAGCCACCUGGCCAGGCUCCCCAGCUUGAGCCCUGGCGCCCAACAAAGGCAGGUUGCUGCUGGAGGUAGCUGAGCUGGAGGCCAGAGCCCUGGGCUCUGAGCUGUAACCCCUGAACCUGACCUCUUGGGGUCCUUGGGCCAACAGCCCCUGGCUCACUGGGGUCAUCAAGCCUCCCCUAACCAGCCUGAGGGGCACUGUGCCCUGGUAAAUCUCUCAGUGAGAUGGGAACCCAGAGUCACCUACGCCCACAGGGAGAUUCCCCACAGAGGCCUGCUUCACCAUCUAAGCCUCACAACAACCCCGGAAGGGAGGACUUUCGCUAUGGGUUAUAUGGAAACCCAGGCCCAGAGAUGUUGGGACAUCUGUCCCAUGUCACAUGGCUGGGGCACACUGGGGAGCUGGGAUUUGAGACAGAGUGACUGACCCCUCAGGGCACUGAGCAGCCUUCUGUCUGCAGCGUGGGGGCAGGGGUGAAGGUGCCCAUUGCUUCCUUAUCACUGGGCCUCACUUUUUCCAUCUGCCACUGGUUGGGCUCCAGUCCUAAGGAAAGGGCUAUCUGUCUUGCCUGCCCCCAAGAGCCAGGGCUGGGGUGGGGGAGGCUUGGCUGGGAGUGAGAGCUCCCAGGCUGCUCCCUGAGGCUGGGUCGGUAAAAGCUUCCUCUGACCCAUCUGUUGAACUCCCUGAUGACCCCAGUGAGCCAGGGGCUGUUGGCCCAAGGACCCCAAGAGGUCAGGCUCAGGGGUUACAGCUCAGAACCCAGGGAACAUCCCCCAACACGCUCCCAGCCCCAGGGAUCUACAGAUCCUCAAGGUUCCACUCUGGAUCAUUUCAGAAAGAUACUGAACUUGUCAGUGGGUCAAGGGGCUCCUGGGGGGACACAUACUGGGCUACUGCCAGAUGGGAAAUGGCCCCAGCGAGCCUGGGGCAGGGAAGACUUCUGCAAGGCAGUGUCUCCUCAACACAGCCUGGGGAAGCCUUGUGUUCCCUCAGCCAUAAACCUCCAUUUGCUCAAAGUUUAUGCACCAUAGGGUUGAGGGGGGCAGCAGUGUGGGAAGGAAACACACCAAAUAUGCUCCAGGAGCCCUGGGCCACUGUGUGACUUCUGAGGGCCUCUGAGGACUUCUGACUUCUGUGUGACUUCUGAGGGCCUCAGUUUACUCGGCUGUAAACUGGGCAUUGUCAAGAGUCCAUCUUUCUCAGGGUGGUUGUGAGGGCCGUAGGCAGCGACCCAACACUCCCUGCCAUCCAGGUGGGCUGCGGGGCCCUGGUUCUCAACCCUAAUGGGGCCUGGGGCUGGUCUAACGCGCAGGGGAGCUAAAGAACUUCCCCUUGCGGCUGUGGGGAAACACCUGGUGUUCCUGGGCCCAGGGCGAGCCUGUGUGCAUUCCAGGCAGUGAGAAACGGGUCACAGAAUACAGCUCUGAGAAACAGUGAAAACUCUGACGACAGCCCCCAAGACCCUCACCACGGCAGGCUGCCCUGACAGUCGCCAGCCCCUCACAGGUUUCUCAGGGCUGCUGAGGUCCCCUCCCCGGGCCAGGUGGGUGGUACUCACAGUCUCAAAGUGGAGGGGGCGGAGGUGUCCCUGGAACCCCAGUGCCUGGCCUGCCUCUGCGGCCCCGGGGGAUGAGCUGUGGGUCCAUCCCCACAGCAGGUCCUGACGUCUGACUUCCUCCCUGCUCAGUCGGCAUCCAGGAAACCACACCCAGGGGAGAGGGUGCCAGGCACCCUGGGGCCCCCGCCCACCUGCCCUCCAAAAGGCCCCCAGGCACUGCUGAGGGGGCUCCUUCCAGGUCUGGCAAACCCAAAUGGCUUCACUGGGCAGGCCCCAGUCAAUAAAUAAUACACCCACCUCCCUGGACAGUCUCUGGUGCCUGAUCGUGUUUCAGGGCCACUUAAGUUCCAGGCAGACUGCUUUGUUCAGAGUGCCGGGCCCCUUCUGGGUCUCUGGCCACAUGGGCACUGCACUGUCACGGAGGGCCAGCUGGAGCCAGCAGCAUAAAGUAGUGUGACAGGGGUCCCUGGAGAGAGGGUGCCCUACUUACUUAGCAGCUUGGGCCCAAAGGGGACCCAGGGGUGGUGCCAGGGUAGGGUGGCCAGUCUCGUCUCCCCAUGGCCAGGCAGGGCCCCCCACAUCCCCCACAGGGGUGCCAUCUGGAGAGCCGCCACCAGCCCAUCCUGACAUUGCCAGUGUCCGGGCCCAGGCCCCUCCUCCAGGA